UCUAGCUGGAAAUCACAUCAUUAGGGAUGCUCCUCGAGAUGUUUUGCUCUCCAUUAACUGAAGGUAUUAUCACCACCAAGUUCUAAUUUGGUUUUAUUUUCCAGGGUGAAGUCUACCUCUGAGGGACGCCUCCUCCACCGUGCAAAAGCCCAGGUCACGUUACCUCCAUCUGUGGAAGAAACGGAGCCGCUCCAGAAGCUUUACGAUCUCCUGGAAGCCAAGGGGUUUCAGACACGGCUGGAAGGACUGGCAUUCCUUCUCGAGCUGUGCCAAACUCGCCCCCAGCUCAUCUCCACUAACAUUGUCCAAAUUUUUGAUUAUUUUGUCCUGAGAAUAUCUGACAGCCAC